ACUGUCUAAUUAAAACAAAACAUUGUGAAGUCCAGUAAUUGAUUACGACACAAUGUGAUUUCUGCCCAGUGCUCUGGAUGUCAAAGUGAAGAGAUUCUUUGAAGCGCGGGUAAAGGGCGAGAGUAACUAUGAUGUUAUGUUCACGGCAUAGCUAACGAAAAUGUGGUUAAAAAUGAAAGGAAAUA
rnacentral:ncRNA from 1 species